rnacentral:lncRNA from 1 species
GUGGAUGGAACUAUGCAGAAAUGGACUCGGGAGAAAAAGGAGCGUUGUUGAGGCUCCUGGAGAGUGGAAUAUCCAUCGGUAUAACCUCUCUACUCUUGUUAGCAUAUGCCGCUGCUGCUCAUGGCUCAUCGGGUGCCUUUGCCGGUGCACUCGCUGCCCGGUCGCCCUAUAAAAAGACCUCGCGAGGAAGUGGAGGAGGAGCAAGGGAAGUGAUCAGCUGGCGAUGGUUUCAUGGUUAAGCGAGCCAGUUCUGGGGUUUCUCUCCUUCGGCAGGCGAUAGAGGAAAGGUCCCAGACAAGAGGGAGAGAGAGAGAGAGAGUUGCAUAUGUACCUUGACAACUCCAAUGGCCUGCCAAAGGAGAGUUGCCCUACGACUGGCUUCAGCUUAGAGAGAGAGAGAGAGAGAGAGAGAGAGAGAGAGAGAGAGUGAGUGCCCGCUAAGCAUCCAACAGGAAGAGCUUUCUCAUGGCAAAUGUCAGGGUGCAACUACAGGUAUCAAUUUAAGAGUAAGUUGAUAUGUUACACGUAUCUCUUUUUUAAGUUGGAAUUUAAUGUAUAGUUAAUAGGGGUAUUUGACUCUUUCCAAACUUAGAAUUCUGGAUCAAUCAAACUAUCUUCAGUUUGACUUGGGAGCCAUAUAUAACAAUAAUAGAGAUUUAUUAGCAAGCUGCUGUUUCUUUUUUUGGUCUUCUUAGGGCUGACAAAUGACAUGCAGCUCAAUUGAAGUGUUUAUAUCUUCUACUUAAUAACCACGAAAGCAAUCUUUCCUGCCAGAUUAGGAUAAAUGACCACCACAAGUAUUUCUGGCGUCUUUUCCUCCUUCUCAAAGUUACACCUUCCAUCCUCUCUCUUUCUCUCUCUCUCUCUCUCCAUGUAUGUAUAUAGGCCACUCGUAUCUUUGAGAGAGAGAGAGAGAGAGAAUUUAACCUUUAGAAAGUGGAGGUGAUCCAAAGACCACAGUUAGAUUGAUUGAUCUUGCGAGAGCGCUUGGUAGACUCUUAAUGUCUGCACAACUUACCACUGACAACUUACUGAUUGCCAGUAGAUGCCAAUACCAAAUCAAUAACAGAAAGGAUAAAGACUAUAGCUCUUACAACUCUUUGUUUUGUUUUUUAUUUUGUUAUUAUAGGUUAAUGUAUUUAGAAAGACAUACUAUAAUUUCAUAUUAGGGAUUAUGGUAUGUGUAUCAAAUCGAUAUAUAUCGAAGUUCCGAAGAUGAAGAGAGACGUGAAGUGGAGGAAGAGGAUGAGGAAGAAAAGACGAUGGAGGAAGAGAAUGAAAAAAAAGAAGAGAAGAAAGAACUAAGUAAAACGAGAAAGAUCAAAGAGGAGAACGAAAGACUCUAGAAUACGAGCGAAACAUCAAAUAAUGCUUUAUACACUAUAUUAGUCGAUGAAGGUUUCUACUUAUGUUGACGUGGCAAGGGUCUCUACUUUGCCACGUUGCCCUAUCUACAUCUAGGAGACAUGAUCUCAAAUUUUGAAUGAUAUGAUUUCCCCCCCUACUCCCUCCAUUUCACACAUUUCCUCUCUUUUUGACACUUUCUUCUUACUCAACAAACUCACCCCGUUCUUGAAGUUUUUAAAUUUUUAGAUCAUUAAAGACCAUGAAGAAUUG